AGGACGACGACGACGACACACGACUCGGAGCCGGGACAGCCGUGACCCGGGGCUGAGGUAACGGCGGGGCAGCAAGUGGCACCUGUGGGGCGCUGCGGCCAGAGCGGGACCAGCGCGGGGAGGCACCCGGGCCAGUGCGGCGGGUGGCCAGGGGCCUUUUGGGCUGGGAGCCCUGGUGCCGGCAGGCAGGGUGCAGGCAGGGCUGUGGGUGCAGGCAGGGUUGUUGGGGUGCAGGCAGUGGGUGCAGGCAGGGUGCAGGCAGGGCUAUGGGUGCAGGCAGGGUUGUUGGGGUGCAGGCAGGGUGCAGGCAGUGGGUGCAGGCAGGGUGCAGGCAGGGCUAUAGGUGCAGGCAGGGUUGUUGGGGUGCAGGCAGGGCUGUAGGUGCGGGCAGGGUGCAGGCAGUGGGUGGGUGCAGGCAGGGUUGUUGGGGUGCAGGCAGGGUGCAGGCAGUGGGCACAGGCAGGGUGCAGGCAGGGCUGUGGGUGCAGGCAGUGGGUGCAGGCAGGGCAGUGGGUGCAGGCAGGGUGCAGGCAGGGUUGUUGGGGUGCAGGCAGGGUGCAGGCAGGGCUGCGUUGGACGCAGGGUGCAGCCGCCG